rnacentral:rRNA from 1 species
UGCGUAGGUGGUGAGGUAAGUCGGAUGUGAAAGCUCGGAGCUCAACUCCGAAAUGGCAUUGGAAACUACCUUGCUCGAGGGUUGGAGGGGGGUACUGGGAAUGCUUGGUGUAGCAGUGAAAUGCGUAGAUAUCAAGCGGAACACCAGUGGCGAAGGCGAGUCCCUGGACAACUCCUGACACUGAGGCACGAAAAGCUAGGGAGCAAACA